rnacentral:sRNA from 1 species
GUUAAUAAUACGAGGUAAAAAAAUUUAAUAGAAAUGGCUUAAUUAUACAAUCAACAACAAAAAAAUUAUAGUCAAGGAACUAGCUUUUUGAUUCUUUUUUAACAACUUUAUAGCGUGACUAUGUUAAGUGAUCUAAUUGCAGGUAUAAACCAGUGACUGUUGUAUUACAUGUAUUGUGUUUGCUCAAUCUGUUGGACUGUGUAUUUCCUGUGUUUAGUGAUUACAUGGACUCUGUAUUUCCUGUGUUUAGUGAUUACAUGGACUCUGUGUAUUUCCUGUGUUUGGUGAUUACAUGGACUCUGUAUUUCCUGUGUUUGGUGAUUACAUGUUAACCAGUAUGUUACAGAAUGAUAGUCUCCCUGUGUUAUGUUAUAACUGCUGAUGAUCCAUUAAAUGGGAAUGACAUC